GGAUGACAUACCGAAAGGUAUGCUAAUACGAGAUAAAAUACUUUUAUCGCAUGGUAGAAGUAUCAAAGCUUUUGCAGUACAGGAUGGACCCGCGUCUGAUUAGCUAGUUGGUAAGGUAACGGCUUACCAAGGCGACGAUCAGUAGCCGACCUGAGAGGGUGAUCGGCCACAUUGGAACUGAGACACGGUCCAAACUCCUACGGGAGGCAGCAGUGGGGAAUAUUGCACAAUGGGCGAAAGCCUGAUGCAGCAACGCCGCGUGAGCGAUGAAGGCCUUCGGGUCGUAAAGCUCUGUCCUCAAGGAAGAUAAUGACGGUACUUGAGGAGGAAGCCCCGGCUAACUACGUGCCAGCAGCCGCGGUAAUACGUAGGGGGCUAGCGUUAUCCGGAAUUACUGGGCGAAAAGGGUGCGUAGGUGGUUUCUUAAGUCAGAGGUGAAAGGCUACGGCUCAACCGUAGUAAGCCUUUGAAACUGGGAAACUUGAGUGCAGGAGAGGAGAGUGGAAUUCCUAGUGUAGCGGUGAAAUGCGUAGAUAUUAGGAGGAACACCAGUUGCGAAGGCGGCUCUCUGGACUGUAACUGACACUGAGGCACGAAAGCGUGGGGAGCAAACAGGAUUAGAUACCCUGGUAGUCCACGCCGUAAACGAUGAGUACUAGCUGUCGGAGGUUACCCCCUUCGGUGGC
rnacentral:rRNA from 1 species